CCAGUGACUUUGUUCAACGGCCGCGGUAUCCUAACCGUGCGAAGGUAGCGUAAUCACUUGUUCUUUAAAUGAGGACUAGUAUGAAUGGCACCACGAAGGUUAUACUGUCUCCUUUCUUUAAUCAGUGAAACUAAUCUCUCCGUGAAGAAGCGGGGAUAUAAUUAUAAGACGAGAAGACCCUAUGGAGCUUUAAACGUGAGUAACAAUUGCCCGCCAUAAUAUUUUUCCCCGGAAACUAACCGCAAUACUUAGGCAUCUUGAUUACAAGUUUUAGGUUGGGGUGACCGCGGAGCAGAAAAUAACCUCCGCAGUGAAUGGAACUUACUUCCUAAACCCAGGGCUACGACCCUAAGCAUCAAUAAAUUGACACUAAUUGACCCAAUAUUUUUGAUCAAUGAACCAAGUUACCCUAGGGAUAACAGCGCAAUCCACUUCAAGAGCCCCUAUCGACAAGUGGGUUUACGACCUCGAUGUUGGAUCAGGGUAUCCCAGUGGUGCAACCGCUACUAAAGGUUCGUUUGUUCAACGAUUAAAACCCUACGUGAUCU
rnacentral:rRNA from 1 species